UGAUGGAAAAAGUUAUGGCAGCACUUGGUGAUGAAGGUUUAAUGCAUUUAAUGAAUAAUUUGGAUGAAAAAUAUUUGACUCUAGCAAUGG